GAAACAUCUAACAAAGAAAAGCUUUCUCGGGCUGUGAAAGUCUUGGCCUUAGGAGGAGCCAGAAUUCUAUGGAUCAAUGCAAAAUCAAAACCACCACCUCUACAUUAUCCACUUGUAGUAUCAUCUGAAUUUUCUUCCAAAAAGUGAAAAACGAAAAGGGUAUUUGAUUUGGGCAAGCCCCUUUACAGUUACAGUGAGUUGUAGUUAAAAGGUUUGUCUUUUUAAGAAAACAUGCUGUAGCUGGCCAAAGUCGAAUUGCUUCUUCCUGUGUUCUGUAAGAGAAGAGCUAAAACUGUGGACAUGGGAGUGUCUGUCGAUAGGCGCAAUGUUCAACCCUAACGAGGCGCAUCUUGUCUAUAUAAUCACCCGUCGUGACAGGUUUGAAAUAGAUAUAUAUGUAGUUGAUAAGUUGAUUCACAGAUAAGAGCGAUAGAGGGGGAGUCUGAAGCGUUGAAACUUGACAGUUCAGAAAAUCGUCGCAACCAAUUACGUCCAUCGCUCUCUCUCCCUCUCUCACUCUCUCCCUCUCCCUUGAGCAACUUUUCACACUCUCUCUCUCUUCGAAGUUCAGAGUCAUGUUUCUGAUGCCCUUGUUUUUCCGGCCAUUGGUUCGGCUGGUUUCAUCACUGGUGGAUCGGCCGGUGGUGUCCGUCACUACCAUACUCUACUACAGUGAAGUCCUCCCCCGGAACCUGAAUCUGGAACGGUUGAUCCGACCCGACUUGCUUGAUCAAGACAACCAUCUCUUUCAUUUCCUCAUCAAUCUCCUGCGAUGUUUCUGGUAGAGACGCUGACGACCCACGUUACUAACAUCCCUGCCCUCAGAUAAGCUUCUUUUGUUGUUCUCUUGCUUUAUGAUUUUGAUGAGUUGUUGUCAUCUUUGAGAUGGGCGGUGGUGAUUUUUUUAUUGGUAUACAGAGGGGUCCUGGAUUUUUUUUUUUCGAUUCAAAUGUAACCGUUGAUAUUUGCCUGGGCGUUUCAUCUCUGAUCUGAUCAAUAUUAGUUAUCAAUUUAGUCUGUGGGGGAAUCCAAA